rnacentral:rRNA from 1 species
AGAGUUUGAUCCUGGCUCAGGAUGAACGCUGGCGGCAUGCCUAAUACAUGCAAGUCGAACGAGAGGAAGGAAAGCUUGCUUUUCUGAAUCUAGUGGCGAACGGGUGAGUAACACGUAGGUAACCUGCCCAUGUGCCCGGGAUAACUUCUGGAAACGGAUGCUAAAACCGGAUAGGUAGCAGACAAGCAUUUGACUGCUAUUAAAGUGGCUAAGGCCAUGAACAUGGAUGGACCUGCGGUGCAUUAGCUAGUUGGUGAGGUAACGGCCCACCAAGGCGACGAUGCAUAGCCGGCCUGAGAGGGCGGACGGCCACAUUGGGACUGAGACACGGCCCAAACUCCUACGGGAGGCAGCAGUAGGGAAUUUUCGUCAAUGGGGGGAACCCUGAACGAGCAAUGCCGCGUGAGUGAAGAAGGUCUUCGGAUCGUAAAGCUCUGUUGUAAGAGAAAAACGACAUUCAUAGGGAAUGAUGAGUGAGUGAUGGUAUCUUACCAGAAAGUCACGGCUAACUACGUGCCAGCAGCCGCGGUAAUACGUAGGUGGCGAGCGUUAUCCGGAAUGAUUGGGCGUAAAGGGUGCGUAGGUGGCAGAACAAGUCUGGAGUAAAAGGUAUGGGCUCAACCCGUACUGGCUCUGGAAACUGUUCAGCUAGAGAACAGAAGAGGACGGCGGAACUCCAUGUGUAGCGGUAAAAUGCGUAGAUAUAUGGAAGAACACCGGUGGCGAAGGCGGCCGUCUGGUCUGUUGCUGACACUGAAGCACGAAAGCGUGGGGAGCAAAUAGGAUUAGAUACCCUAGUAGUCCACGCCGUAAACGAUGAGAACUAGGUGUUGGGGGAAUAACUCAGUGCCGCAGUUAACGCAAUAAGUUCUCCGCCUGGGGAGUAUGCACGCAAGUGUGAAACUCAAAGGAAUUGACGGGGGCCCGCACAAGCGGUGGAGUAUGUGGUUUAAUUCGAAGCAACGCGAAGAACCUUACCAGGCCUUGACAUCCCUUGCAGAGGUAUAGAGAUAUAUCCGAGGUUAUCAAGGAGACAGGUGGUGCAUGGUUGUCGUCAGCUCGUGUCGUGAGAUGUUGGGUUAAGU